rnacentral:rRNA from 12 species
GUCACACUGUUCUGUGAGCGCCCAAUCCUGUCAGAUAUCAGAAGCCACGCAGGGUCGGGUCUUAGUACUUGGAUGGGAAACCACCUUGGAAGACCAGGGAGC